ACGAGCGCGCGAUUUUUUUCUCUUUUUCCUUUUGUUCAGUCGUAUCAGACUGGACCAAGGAGAAGCAGGAGACCGUUGGCGGCUUUUCUUCCAGCCCUGGAAAAUUAUUUAUAACGGUUCAGGUUCCCCCAGAGUGCCGCGGAUCAGUAGGGGGCUGUAAGGAAGAACCAAGCUGCUAGCAGUGCUCCAGACAGUGAGAUUGACUCAUACGCUAUCAGAUGGUUUAACUUGGCAUCUGACCGGGGAGGUGGCCGCAAAGACCGUGCCAAGGCUAAAGAGGCAUUAACCACGGCAUCACAACAUUCCACUGAGCAGCAGUGGCUGACUUCAUGAAGAAGUGGCAUGAGGAAGUGGAAGUGACAGCAGGCAGUUGGAGAGGUCAUAUGGGUGGGGAUAUGUUUGGGAUUCAGUUAAAUUUUAAGUUUUGUUGGGUUUUUUUUUGUUUGUUUUUUUGGGGGGGUAGGGGUCACAGUUUGGUUGUGAAUAAUGUUGGUAUUGUUGUUGCUAUUAAGGUUAAGGUUGUUAGUUAAUUGUUUAUUCCCGCCAACCUGGUUGAGUUCAUUAUGCUGUUUUACUUUUCUCUAGUGAUCUUUGUAUUUUGAAUUUGAAUUUUAAGAUUAAAUGAAAUUGUAAAUAAAUAACAAUGUUUUAUGCUACACACCUGGUGUUCUUGAGCCUUACUGCUUGGUCCCUGACAAUUACAUUAGUUCUUCCCAGUGUGCUUUGGUGUGUCAAAGGUCAGUUUUUAUACUUCUGUUACACUCUAAAUUACGGAUUUAAAAGGACUUCGUCUCUUCUUCAUAUGCCAUAUGCUAUUGUCAUAUGACAUAAUUACACUAUUUUAUAUUUACUCAGUUUACACUCAACAUGCACAGGUAAACCCAAGUGAUGUCAUGUUAUGCUUCAUUCACUUUUUUCUGAAGUUAAUCCACCAUGAGUAGAGUACACUUUACAGAUUUUGACUGAUGAGUGUACAGUGAACGACCAACAAAGCAGCAUCUCCUGUCGUAACUUAUGAUUUCUGUUUUUAAAAAAAAAAACAAAAAAA